CAACCUCUGACGAUAUCCGUGUAAGUUG
rfam:Muricauda sp. TMED12 MHASMcontig_420621, whole genome shotgun sequence.